GCAGGAGGAUCACUUGAGCCCGGGAGGUGAAGGCUGCGGGAAGAGUUUGUCUCGUCUAUCAGGCCACCAACAAGAGUUGUUGCAAUGCCUGUGGGAGGUGCAGCCCACGCUGGGCCACCUGGCCAGCUCAGGGAUCCUGCUGGAGAUCGAGGAUUGUCUGGUCGGCCUCUUACAACUCUCAGAACAUCAUCCCUGGGAGCAGCCCUGAAGAGACCAAGGAAUGGAAAAACAGAUGGAAGGACUGCAACUCACAGGUGAAAAGGAACCGGCUACGAGAGGCUCCAAACCAAGGGAGCAGCGGAGUUUGUCUCCAAAACACCGAGCCCAGUGAGAGAAGCCAGAGCCACAGACCAGAUGCCCUGCAGCCUCAGCUCCAGUGUCUCAUCCCCAGAGACCUUCCCAGACCACCAUGUCUCAGACAGCCCCGGCUGCCUCCUGCCUGCCCUGCACCAGCCCUGAGCCAUCGCCUCAUUUUAUUCUCAUUCUAACUUGGAUAAUGGGAUCUGCCUCUUACCAACUGUGACCUUAGGCACAGGAUCAGCCCCAAAUUGAGCCUCAUUUUGUCCAUCUGUAAAAUGAGGAUGGCACUAGAGCCCCGUCUAGGGUGAAUGUGAAGGUCAGAGCCUGCACAAGCCUUCAGGGUUUAAUGCCCUGCUGUGUCCAUGUGCUCAGCUCAUAGCCACCAUGCAUGACUUGGGACUUCUGAAUGGGACCAAGAAAUAUCUAACAUGCGAUUUCCUGGAAAGCACAUAGGAGUUUGGCCCAGAUCCAGACUUGGCAGUUGCUCAAUCAAGAAGAAGCUGCCAGGCACAGUGGCUUGUGCCUGUAACCCCAGAACUUUGAGAGGCUGAGCGGGGUGGAUCACCCAAAGUCAGGAG
rnacentral:lncRNA from 1 species